rnacentral:rRNA from 1 species
UACGAAGGGGCUAGCGUUGCUCGGAAUCACUGGGCGUAAAGCGCACGUAGGCGGAUUGUUAAGUCAGGGGUGAAAUCCUGGAGCUCAACUCCAGAACUGCCUUUGAUACUGGCGAUCUUGAGUCCGGGAGAGGUGAGUGGAACUGCGAGUGUAGAGGUGAAAUUCGUAGAUAUUCGCAAGAACACCAGUGGCGAAGGCGGACUCACCUGG